GUAUGUAUGUAUGUAUGUAUGUAUGUAUGUAUGUAUGUAUGUAUGUAUGUAUGUAUGUAUGUAUGUAUGACGUUGAUUACACUGUGGGCUGAAAAGCCGGGGGCCCAGGGCCGAAGCACAGCGCGAGGGGCAGGUGCAUACGGCUGGUUAGUCUCAUGCACUCCGCCCCCGGGUCAGGCCGCACGGGAAACGACGGCCGGCACGCAACAGCGCUCGUUUGGCGCUCCAACUAGACGGGAUCUAUGCCCGUUGGUCUCCUAACAUAAACGAAGUCGCAACUGGGGGGCUCUUCCUGCCGACCGAACGAACCGAGCAUCUCAGAGAGCUCGCAACCAGGACCUGGGCGACCGGGAGCCCGACGAGUCAUCCCGGGCUGGGGAGGUCACCAAGCUCAAAAAUCCUCACGCAAAAAAA
rnacentral:lncRNA from 1 species